AACGCUGGCGGCGUGCCUAAUACAUGCAAGUCGAACGGUCUUUCUAUGGAAGCUUGCUUCCACUGAGAAGAUAGUGGCGAACGGGUGAGUAACACGUGGGUAACCUGCCCAUAAGAGGGGGAUAACAUCCGGAAACGGGUGCUAAUACCGCAUAGUUUUCUUGAUCCGCAUGAUCGGGAAAGGAAAGACGGCCUUUGUGCUGUCGCUUAUGGAUGGACCCGCGGCGUAUUAGUUAGUUGGUGAGGUAACGGCUCACCAAGACGAUGAUACGUAGCCGACCUGAGAGGGUGAUCGGCCACAUUGGGACUGAGACACGGCCCAAACUCCUGCGGGAGGCAGCAGUAGGGAAUCUUCCGCAAUGGACGAAAGUCUGACGGAGCAACGCCGCGUGAGUGAAAGAAGGUUUUCGGAUCGUAAAACUCUGUUGUCAGAGAAGAACAAGUUGGAGAGUAACUGCUCCAGCCUUGACGGUAUCUGACCAGAAAGCCACGGCUAACUACGUGCCAGCCGCGGC
rnacentral:rRNA from 1 species